AUCGCUUCUCGGCCUUUUGGCUAAGAUCAAGUGUAAAAUCAGCAUAAACAUUGAUUUAAACUCUGCUACUCUCAUUUCUGAUGAUUAAAAAAAGUUUUAUUUUGUUGGCUUGUGUUAUUAAAAAGAACAAGAUUGGUC
ensembl:snRNA U2 U2 spliceosomal RNA